GAACAUUUCUCUCACCGGAGCAGUUAACAACUUGGCUUUUAUAUUUCUCUCUAUGUUUUAUUUACGAACCCUAAAGUCCAAAACCCUUACUUAGCUGCCAAGUGUCACUGGCCCAUUUCCUCGAAGACUCCUUCCUUUCGUCUGCCUCUCCAAUGGAACCUAACUGAUCUGUACCUGAAAUCAUUUUCAUUAACCACAAAGGCACGAACCACUCUGUUUCAUUCUUUGCAGGAACACCCUUUCAUUCCUUCUUGUUCAUUACACGAGACUCUACCAUGUUCAGGAUCCUUAACAAACGCCUCAGGCGCUUCUGCUAUCGUCUCCGGUGGCCCAUUCGCCGCAGGUCCAGGUCCAAAAUCCUUAUCAGGAGAUUUGGAAAAGCUAACCCCAACACUCAUAAUGAGGCCAUUAAUGGUUCUGCCGCUGUUCAUCCAAAUGGCCAACUGGAUUAUCUGAAAACCGAGGUCAAGCCUAUAAAGAUAGCAACUUUCAAUGCUGCCUUGUUUUCAAUGGCUCCUGCUGUACCUAAAACACGAGACUUUGAGAAUGAAGAUCACCAAAAUGGUACGAGGUCUACAGAUGUUAUUUUGCGUACCAAGUCCGUAAAUGAUCAGCCAAAGAGCAUACUAAAGCAGUCUCCCCUGCAUCCCAACUCCAUGAAUGUUGAUGAUAGUCUUUCCAUGCAGCAAAAGUUUGCUAAAUCGAAAUUAAGGGUAUCCAUCAAUUUGCCAGAUAAUGAGAUUUCAUUACUGAGAAAUAGGCAAUUGGGAUUUGUGGAAGACAAGGAAACUACCAUAGGUAGCAAUCUGACUAGAAUUCUGAGAGGAAAGGCCCAUAUGAGGUCACAGAGUGCUAUUUCUACAAGAUAUGUAGGAAAUACGGUGGAUGGAAACAGCUAUAAGAGUACAAGAACAGUGGUUGAAGUGUUGGAAGAGUUGAAUGCUGAUAUAUUGGCUCUGCAAGAUGUGAAAGCAGAGGAGGAGAAAGAAAUGAAGCCUCUUUCAGAUUUGGCUGCUGCUUUGGGAAUGAAUUAUGUUUUCGCUGAGAGCUGGGCUCCUGAGUAUGGCAAUGCUAUUUUGUCCAAGUGGCCAAUUAAGAGAUGGAAAGUGCAGAAGAUUUUUGACGACACUGAUUUCAGGAAUGUUCUUAAGGCCACAAUCGAUGUGCCCCAGAAAGGAGAGGCUAACUUCUACUGCACCCUUCUUGAUCACCUUGAUGAGAACUGGCGGAUGAAGCAAAUAAAUGCCAUAAUACAGUCUAAUGAUGGCCCCCAUAUCUUAGCUGGAGGUCUGAAUUCCCUGGAUGAGACGGAUUACUCAGCAGAGAGGUGGACGGAUAUUGUGAAGGUAAUUGUACAGUCGUAUGCGCCAGUCCCUUGCAUUUAAUAAUAUUUAAAUGGAUUUAUUUUUUUUGUUUUAUUGUAGUACUAUGAGGAGAUGGGAAAGCCAACACCAAAGUUUGAGGUGAUGAGAUAUUUGAAGAGUAAGCAUUACACAGAUGCUAAGGAGUUUGCAGGAGAAUGCGAGCCAGUGGUUAUGAUAGCUAAAGGGCAAAAUGUGCAAGGGACCUGCAAGUAUGGGACUCGAGUGGAUUACAUAUUAGCUUCCUCAAAUUCACCAUACAAGUUUGUUCCAGGGUCGUACUCGGUGUUGUCUUCAAAAGGAACCUCUGACCAUCACAUUGUUAAAGUUGAUAUGAUAAAAGUGAGUAAAAGUGAUGAAGAAAAUGUCUCUAGAAAGAGACGCCAACCUAAACACAAAGUUGUAAAGAUAACAAAUUCUUCUCCUUCUAAAGGUGUAUGGAAAGCACAAACAUGAGAGUAGAGUGAUAAAUUUUAGUCUUGUUUUGGUUUCUUUGAGGAAGCAGAGGAUUUUGAAACUGCUUCAACCUCAUUUUUGCUUUUGUAAAUCACUGAAGGGAGUUGGGACUUUAGCUAGUAGGUUGAAACAAAAGGAAAAGGAUGGGGUUUGGUGUAUGUGUGAUACUUGAUCAUUAUCUGUAUAGGUUGUAGUGGGAAAUUUGAGAAGAUGGGAACAAGUCAAGUGGUGCUUCAAUUUUCUUUAUGUGAUUCCUGAGUUGGCAUCAGAAUAUAACAGCAACAGGAGCUGUAGAAACCUAAAAGAAAGAAAGAAAGAAAGA
rnacentral:misc_RNA from 1 species